GACGAACGCUGGCGGCGUGCUUAACACAUGCAAGUCGAACGAAGAGCGAUGGAAGCUUGCUUCUAUCAAUCUUAGUGGCGAACGGGUGAGUAACGCGUAAUCAACCUGCCCUUCAGAGGGGGACAACAGUUGGAAACGACUGCUAAUACCGCAUACGAUCUAAUCUCGGCAUCGAGGAUAGAUGAAAGGUGGCCUCUACAUGUAAGCUAUCACUGAAGGAGGGGAUUGCGUCUGAUUAGCUAGUUGGAGGGGUAACGGCCCACCUAGGCGAUGAUCAGUAGCCGGUCUGAGAGGAUGAACGGCCACAUUGGGACUGAGACACGGCCCAGACUCCUACGGGAGGCAGCAGUGGGGAAUCUUCCGCAAUGGACGAAAGUCUGACGGAGCAACGCCGCGUGAGUGAUGACGGCCUUCGGGUUGUAAAGCUCUGUUAAUCGGGACGAAAGGCCUUCUUGCGAAUAGUGAGAAGGAUUGACGGUACCGGAAUAGAAAGCCACGGCUAACUACGUG
rnacentral:rRNA from 1 species